rnacentral:rRNA from 1 species
ACGAACGCUGGCGGCAGGCCUAACACAUGCAAGUCGAGCGAGGACUUCGGUUCUAGCGGCGGACGGGUGAGUAACGCGUGGGAAUGUGCCCUUCUCUACGGAAUAGCCCUGGGAAACUGGGAGUAAUACCGUAUACGCCCUAUUGGGGAAAGAUUUAUCGGAGAAGGAUCAGCCCGCGUUGGAUUAGGUAGUUGGUGGGGUAAUGGCCUACCAAGCCGACGAUCCAUAGCUGGUUUGAGAGGAUGAUCAGCCACACUGGGACUGAGACACGGCCCAGACUCCUACGGGAGGCAGCAGUGGGGAAUCUUAGACAAUGGGGGCAACCCUGAUCUAGCCAUGCCGCGUGAGUGAUGAAGGCCUUAG